UAUUAGGACUGUCGCGAGUGUGAAGUCACCGCGAAAAAUCGGCUCGACUCUCGCAGUGGCUUC
rnacentral:sRNA from 1 species